AGAGUUUGAUCAUGGCUCAGGAUGAACGCUGGCGGCGUGCCUAACACAUGCAAGUCGAACGAAGCGCCUUUUGAGAUUCUUCGGAUGAUUGAUUGGUGACUGAGUGGCGGACGGGUGAGUAACGCGUGGGUAACCUGCCCUGUACAGGGGGAUAACAGCUGGAAACGGCUGCUAAUACCGCAUAAGCGCACGAGGAGAUAUCUUCUUGUGUGAAAAACUCCGGUGGUACAGGAUGGGCCCGCGUCUGAUUAGCUGGUUGGCAGGGUAACGGCCUACCAAGGCAACGAUCAGUAGCCGGUCUGAGAGGAUGAACGGCCACAUUGGAACUGAGACACGGUCCAAACUCCUACGGGAGGCAGCAGUGGGGAAUAUUGCACAAUGGGGGAAACCCUGAUGCAGCAACGCCGCGUGAGUGAAGAAGUAUUUCGGUAUGUAAAGCUCUAUCAGCAGGGAAGAUAAUGACGGUACUCAACAAGGAAGUGACGGCUAACUACGUGCCAGCAGCCGCGGUAAAACGUAGGUCACAAGCGUUGUCCGGAAUUACUGGGUGUAAAGGGAGCGCAGGCGGGAAGACAAGUUGGAAGUGAAAUCCAUGGGCUCAACCCAUGAACUGCUUUCAAAACUGUUUUUCUUGAGUAGUGCAGAGGUAGGCGGAAUUCCCGGUGUAGCGGUGGAAUGCCUAGAUAUCGGGAGGAACACCAGUGGCGAAGGCGGCCUACUGGGCACCAACUGACGCUGAGGCUCGAAAGUGUGGGUAGCAAACAGGAUUAGAUACCCUGGUAGUCCACACUGUAAACGAUGAUUACCAGGUGUUGGAGGAUUGACCCCUUCAGUGCCGCAGUUAACACAAUAAGUAAUCCACCUGGGGAGUACGACCGCAAGGUUGAAACUCAAAGGAAUUGACGGGGGCCCGCACAAGCAGUGGAGUAUGUGGUUUAAUUCGACGCAACGCGAAGAACCUUACCAAGUCUUGACAUCCCUUGACGAUGCUGGAAACAGUAUUUCUCUUCGGAGCAAGGAGACAGGUGGUGCAUGGUUGUCGUCAGCUCGUGUCGUGAGAUGUUGGGUUAAGUCCCGCAACGAGCGCAACCCUUAUGGUCAGUUACUACGCAAGAGGACUCUGGCCAGACUGCCGUUGACAAAACGGAGGAAGGUGGGGAUGACGUCAAAUCAUCAUGCCCUUUAUGACUUGGGCUACACACGUACUACAAUGGCGUUAAACAAAGAGAAGCAAGACCGCGAGGUGGAGCAAAACUCAGAAACAACGUCCCAGUUCGGACUGCAGGCUGCAACUCGCCUGCACGAAGUCGGAAUUGCUAGUAAUCGCAGAUCAGCAUGCUGCGGUGAAUACGUUCCCGGGCCUUGUACACACCGCCCGUCACACCAUGAGAGCCGGGGGGACCCGAAGUCGGUAGUCUAACCGCAAGGAGGACGCCGCCGAAAGUAAAACUGGUGAUUGGGGUGAAGUCGAACAAGGUA
rnacentral:rRNA from 1 species